rnacentral:rRNA from 1 species
GUGCCAGCCGCCGCGGUAAUACCGGCGGCUCUAGUGGUCGUCGCUUUUAUUGGGCCUAAAACGUCCGUAGCCUGUUUGGUAAAUCUGAGGGUAAAUCCACCAGCUUAACUCGUUGAAUUCUGCAGAGACUGCCCGACUAGGGACCGGGGUAGGUAUGAGGUACUCUGGGGGUAGGGGUAAAAUCCUGUCAUCCUCAAAGGACCACCUGUUGCGAAGGGGUCAUACUGGGACGGAUCCGACGGUCAGGGACGAAACCUAGGGGCACGAACCGGAUUAUAUACCCGGGUAGUCCUAGGUGGAAACGCUGGGGAUUUGGUGUGUGGGGUCCGCAAUGGGCCCCAUGUGCCAGACUGAAGAUGUUAAAUCCACUGGCUGGGGAGUACCGUCGCAAGGCUGAAACUUAAAGUAAUUGGCGGGGGAGCACUGCAACGGGAGGAGAGUGCGUUUUAAUUGGAUUCUACGCCGGAAAACUCACCAAGGCCAAGUGUUAGAUGAAGAUCAGUGUAACGAACUUAUCGGAUUAUCAGAAAGGUGGUGCAUGGCGGUUGUCAGUUCGUACUGUAAAGCGGUAUCUUAAGUCAUAUAACGAACGAGACCCGCAUCCCUAUUUGCGACCCUCAUGUCGGCAUGAGGCGCACCAUAGGGAGAUCGCUGGUGCGAAACCAGAUGAGGCCGCGGGCAACGACAGAUCAGUAUACCCCGAAAGUCUUGGGCUACCCGAGCGCUACAAAGAACAGGACAAUGGGAAGCCACGCCGAGAGGCGGGGCUACCCCGAAACCUGUUCGUAGUUCGGAUGGAGGGCUGUAACUCGCCCUCGUGAAGCUGGAUUCCGUAGUAAUCGUGUUUCAACAAAGCACGGUGAAUAUGCCCCUGCUCCUUGCACCCCCCGCCCGUC